rnacentral:rRNA from 1 species
UCGAGAAUUUUUCACAAUGGGGGAAACCCUGAUGGAGCGACGCCGCGUGGAGGAUGAAGGUCUUCGGAUCGUAAACUCCUGUCACUUCAGAACAAGGGUAGUAGCACUAAUAACGCUAUUACUUGAUGGUAUGAGGAGAGGAAGGAACGGCUAACUCUGUGCCAGCAGCCGCGGUGAUACAGAGGUUCCAAGCGUUGUUCGGAUUCACUGGGCGUAAAGGGUGCGUAGGAGGUCAGAUAAGUAGGAUGUGAAAUCCUGCCGCUUAACGGCAGAACUGCAUUCUAAACUGCCUGACUCGAGGAUCGGAGAGGAGAGCGGAAUUCUUGGUGUAGCGGUGAAAUGCGUAGAUAUCAAGAGGAACGCCAACAGCGAAGGCAGCUCUCUGGAAGACUCCUGACUCUGAGGCACGAAGGCCAGGGUAGCAAACGGGAUUAGAUACCCCCGUAGUCC